GCGAGUGGCGGACGGGUGAGUAACACGUAGGUAACCUGCCCCAAAGCGGGGGAUAACAUUUGGAAACAGAUGCUAAUACCGCAUAACAAUUUGAAUCGCAUGAUUCAAAUUUAAAAGAUGGCUUCGGCUAUCACUUUGGGAUGGACCUGCGGCGCAUUAGCUUGUUGGUAGGGUAACGGCCUACCAAGGCUGUGAUGCGUAGCCGAGUUGAGAGACUGAUCGGCCACAAUGGAACUGAGACACGGUCCAUACUCCUACGGGAGGCAGCAGUAGGGAAUCUUCCACAAUGGGCGCAAGCCUGAUGGAGCAACACCGCGUGAGUGAAGAAGGGUUUCGGCUCGUAAAGCUCUGUUGUUAGAGAAGAACGUGCGUGAGAGUAACUGUUCACGCAGUGACGGUAUCUAACCAGAAAGUCACGGCUAACUACGUGCCAGCAGCCGCGGUAAUACGUAGGUGGCAAGCGUUAUCCGGAUUUAUUGGGCGUAAAGCGAGCGCAGGCGGUUUGAUAAGUCUGAUGUGAAAGCCUUUGGCUUAACCAAAGAAGUGCAUCGGAAACUGUCAGACUUGAGUGCAGAAGAGGACAGUGGAACUCCAUGUGUAGCGGUGGAAUGCGUAGAUAUAUGGAAGAACACCAGUGGCGAAGGCGGCUGUCUGGUCUGCAACUGACGCUGAGGCUCGAAAGCAUGGGUAGCGAACAGGAUUAGAUACCCUGGUAGUCCAUGCCGUAAACGAUGAGUGCUAGGUGUUGGAGGGUUUCCGCCCUUCAGUGCCGCAGCUAACGCAUUAAGCACUCCGCCUGGGGAGUACGACCGCAAGGUUGAAACUCAAAGGAAUUGACGGGGGCCCGCACAAGCGGUGGAGCAUGUGGUUUAAUUCGAAGCUACGCGAAGAACCUUACCAGGUCUUGACAUCUUGCGCCAACCCUAGAGAUAGGGCGUUUCCUUCGGGAACGCAAUGACAGGUGGUGCAUGGUCGUCGUCAGCUCGUGUCGUGAGAUGUUGGGUUAAGUCCCGCAACGAGCGCAACCCUUGUUACUAGUUGCCAGCAUUCAGUUGGGCACUCUAGUGAGACUGCCGGUGACAAACCGGAGGAAGGUGGGGACGACGUCAGAUCAUCAUGCCCCUUAUGACCUGGGCUACACACGUGCUACAAUGGACGGUACAACGAGUCGCGAACUCGCGAGGGCAAGCUAAUCUCUUAAAACCGUUCUCAGUUCGGACUGCAGGCUGCAACUCGCCUGCACGAAGUCGGAAUCGCUAGUAAUCGCGGAUCAGCAUGCCGCGGUGAAUACGUUCCCGGGCCUUGUACACACCGCCC
rnacentral:rRNA from 2 species